CGAUGGGCCGACGUCGCAUGCUCCCGGCCGCCAUGGUAGAGUUUGAUCCUGGCUCAGGAUGAACGCUGGCGGCGUGCCUAAUACAUGCAAGUCGAGCGAACUGAUUAGAAGCUUGCUUCUAUGACGUUAGCAGCGGACGGGUGAGUAACACGUGGGCAACCUGCCUGUAAGACUGGGAUAACUUCGGGAAACCGAAGCUAAUACCGGAUAGGAUCUUUUCCUUCAUGGGAGAUGAUUGAAAGAUGGUUUCGGCUAUCACUUACAGAUGGGCCCGCGGUGCAUUAGCUAGUUGGUGAGGUAACGGCUCACCAAGGCAACGAUGCAUAGCCGACCUGAGAGGGUGAUCGGCCACACUGGGACUGAGACACGGCCCAGACUCCUACGGGAGGCAGCAGUAGGGAAUCUUCCGCAAUGGACGAAAGUCUGACGGAGCAACGCCGCGUGAGUGAUGAAGGCUUUCGGGUCGUAAAACUCUGUUGUUAGGGAAGAACAAGUAUGAGAGUAACUGCUCGUACCUUGACGGUACCUAACCAGAAAGCCACGGCUAACUACGUGCCAGCAGCCGCGGUAAUACGUAGGUGGCAAGCGUUAUCCGGGAAUUAUUGGGCGUAAAGCGCGCGCAGGCGGUUUCUUAAGUCUGAUGUGAAAGCCCACGGGCUCACCCGUGGAGGGUCAUUGGAACUGGGGAACUUGAGUGCAGAAGAGAAAAGCGGAAUUCCACGGGUACGUUAAAAUGCGUAGAGAUGUGGAGGAACAC
rnacentral:rRNA from 1 species